rnacentral:rRNA from 1 species
UACGGGGGGGGCAAGCGUUGUUCGGAAUUACUGGGCGUAAAGGGCUGGUAGGCGGCCAACUAAGUCGGAUGUGAAAUCCCCAGGCUUAACCUGGGAACUGCAUCCGAUACUGGUCGGCUUGAAUCCGGGAGAGGGAUGCAGAAUUCCAGGUGUAGCGGUGAAAUGCGUAGAUAUCUGGAGGAAUACCGGUGGCGAAGGCGGCAUCCUGGACCGGCAUUGACGCUGAACAGCGAAGGCUAGGGGAGCAAACGGG